CAGCAGCCGCGGGAAUACGAAGGGUGCAAGCGUUAAUCGGAAUUACUGGGCGUAAAGCGCACGCAGGCGGUCUGUCAAGUCAGAUGUGAAAUCCCCGGGCUUAACCUGGGAACUGCAUUUGAAACUGGCAGGCUAGAGUCUUGUAGAGGGGGGUAGAAUUCCAGGUGUAGCGGUGAAAUGCGUAGAGAUCUGGAGGAAUACCGGUGGCGAAGGCGGCCCCCUGGACAAAGACUGACGCUCAGGUGCGAAAGCGUGGGGAGCAAACAGGAUUAGAUACCCGCGUAGUCCCUGUCUCUUAUAC
rnacentral:rRNA from 1 species